UACGGAGGGGGCUAGCGUUGUUCGGAAUUACUGGGCGUAAAGCGCACGUAGGCGGCGUGUUUAGUCAGGGGUGAAAGGCCCGGGCUCAACCCGGGAACGGCCUUUGAUACUGGCACGCUUGAGUCCGAGAGGGGGUGGUGGAACUCCCAGUGUAGAGGUGAAAUUCGUAGAUAUUGGGAAGAACACCGGUGGCGAAGGCGACCACCUGGCUCGGAACUGACGCUGAGGUGCGAAAGCGUGGGGAGCAAAC
rnacentral:rRNA from 1 species